GGACGAACGCUGGCGGCGUGCUUAACACAUGCAAGUCGAGCGGGUUAAGGCCCUUUCGGGGGUACACGAGCGGCGAACGGGUAGAGUAACACGUGGGUGACCUGCCCUCAGCUCUGGGAUAAGCCUGGGAAACCGGGUCUAAUACCGGAUAUGACUCCAUGACGCAUGUUGUGGGGUGGAAAGCCUUGUGCGGCUGAGGAUGGGCCCGCGGCCUA
rnacentral:rRNA from 1 species